rnacentral:piRNA from 1 species
UUGAAUCAUGUAGACUUGGGUGC